rnacentral:rRNA from 1 species
CCUACGGGAGGCAGCAGUGGGGGAUAUUGCACAAUGGGGGGAACCCCGAUGCAGCGACGCCGCGUGGGUGAAGAAGCGCCUCGGCGCGUAAAGCCCUGUCAGCAGGGAAGAAAAUGACGGUACCUGAAGAAGAAGCCCCGGCUAACUACGUUCCAGCAGCCGCGGUAAUACGUAGGGGGCCAGCGUUAUCCGGAUUUACUGGGUGGAAAGGGGGCGCAGACGGCGAUGCAAGCCAGGAGUGAAAGCCCGGGGCCCAACCCCGGGACUGCCCUUGGAACGGCGUGGCGGGAGUGCCGGAGGGGCAGGCGGAAUUCCUGGUGUAGCGGUGAAAUGCGUAGAUAUCAGGAGGAACACCGGUGGCGAAGGCGGCCUGCUGGACUGCAACUGACGUUGAGGCCCGAAAGCGUGGGGAGCAAACAGGAUUAGAUACCCGGGUAGUC